rnacentral:lncRNA from 1 species
CGAUUCUCCUGUCAGCCUCUAGAGCAGCUGGGAUUACAGCCAAGGUCUUUAACAAGCAGAGUGUUUUGUCCAGCAGUGAGGCCCCUUUUCCCACUUCCCAGCACCCACAUAAACAGGAAUAAUGUGCUGGAAAUGAAACCAGGUGGCAGAAGCAGCUACACAUGCAAGAGAAGCCUGAUUGGGUCCACAUUAACCAGAUGACAGGAGUGAGAGCCUUCACUUACAUUUCGGGGACCAUCAGUGAGAACUGGGAUGGCAGUGAACCUGAAA